GAUGAACGCUGGCGGCGUGCCUAAUACAUGCAAGUCGAGCGAACGGACGAGAAGCUUGCUUCUCUGAUGUUAGCGGCGGACGGGUGAGUAACACGUGGAUAACCUACCUAUAAGACUGGGAUAACUUCGGGAAACCGGAGCUAAUACCGGAUAAUAUUUUGAACCGCAUGGUUCAAAAGUGAAAGACGGUCUUGCUGUCACUUAUAGAUGGAUCCGCGCUGCAUUAGCUAGUUGGUAAGGUAACGGCUUACCAAGGCAACGAUGCAUAGCCGACCUGAGAGGGUGAACGGCCACACUGGAACUGAGAAACGGUCCAGACUCCUACGGGAGGCAGCAGUAGGGAAUCUUCCGCAAUGGGCGAAAGCCUGAAGGAGCAAAGCCGCGUGAGUGAUGAAGGUCUUCGGAUCGGAAAACUCUGUUAAUAGGGAAGAACAUAUGUGGAAGUAAAUGUGCACAUCUUGACGGUACCUAAUCAGAAAGCCACGGCUAACUACGUG
rnacentral:rRNA from 1 species